AAUUUAAUAGGAUUGGAUGCUUAUAUAAUGCUGAUAAUAUGGUUCAGCAGUUUCUACCGAAUACCUUAAAUAUUCGACUAUGAGUAUUCUUAAUGUAUUU
rnacentral:ncRNA from 2 species